CAGUAGCCACGGUAAUACGUAGGUCCCGAGCGUUGUCCGGAUUUAUUGGGCGUAAAGCGAGCGCAGGCGGUUAGAUAAGUCUGAAGUUAAAGGCUGUGGCUUAACCAUAGUACGCUUUGGAAACUGUUUAACUUGAGUGCAAGAGGGGAGAGUGGAAUUCCAUGUGUAGCGGUGAAAUGCGUAGAUAUAUGGAGGAACACCGGUGGCGAAAGCGGCUCUCUGGCUUGUAACUGACGCUGAGGCUCGAAAGCGUGGGGCGCAAACAGGAUUAGAUACCCCCGUAGUCCCUGUCUCUUAUACC
rnacentral:rRNA from 1 species